CCCCAGCGCCACAAGUUGCAACCAUAUAUUGGGCCUAAAGCGUCCGUAGCCGGUCAUGUAAAUCUCUUGUGAAAUCGUUACGCUUAACGUAAUGGCGUGCGGGAGACACUGCAAGACUUGGAACCAGAAGGGGUCAGAGGUAUUCUUGGGGGAGCGGUAAAAUGCAGUAAUCCCAAGAGGACCACCUGUGGCGAAGGCGUCUGACUAGGAUGGUUUCGACGGUGAGGGACGAAAGCCAGGGGAGCGAUCCGG
rnacentral:rRNA from 1 species